UACGUAGGUGGCAAGCGUUGUCCGGAUUUAUUGGGCUUAAAGGGUGCGUAGGCGGUCUUUUAAGUCAGUGCUGAAAUACUCCAGCUUAACUGGAGGGGUGGCAUUGAUACUGGAAGACUUGAGUAUAGUUGAGGUAGGCGGAAUUGACGGUGUAGCGGUGAAAUGCUUAGAUAUCGUCAAGAACACCGAUAGUGAAGACAGCUUACUAAACUAUAACUGACGCUGAGGCACGAAAGUGUGGGGAUCAAACAGG
rnacentral:rRNA from 1 species